rnacentral:rRNA from 1 species
GCAUGUCUAAGUAUAAGCAAUUAUACCGUGAAACUGCGAAUGGCUCAUUAAAUCAGUUAUCGUUUAUUUGAUAGUACCUUACUACUUGGAUAACCGUGGUAAUUCUAGAGCUAAUACAUGCUAAAAACCCCGACUUCGGGAGGGGUGUAUUUAUUAGAUAAAAAACCAAUGCCCUUCGGGGCUCUUUGGUGAUUCAUGAUAACUUAACGGAUCGCAUGGCCUUGCGCCGGCGACGGUUCAUUCAAAUUUCUGCCCUAUCAACUUUCGAUGGUAAGGUAUUGGCUUACCAUGGUUUCAACGGGUAACGGGGAAUUAGGGUUCGAUUCCGGAGAGGGAGCCUGAGAAACGGCUACCACAUCCAAGGAAGGCAGCAGGCGCGCAAAUUACCCAAUCCCGACACGGGGAGGUAGUGACAAUAAAUACUGAUACAGGGCUCUUUUGGGUCUUGUAAUCGGAAUGAGUACAAUUUAAACCCCUUAACGAGGAACAAUUGGAGGGCAAGUCUGGUGCCAGCAGCCGCGGUAAUUCCAGCUCCAAUAGCGUAUAUUAAAGUUGUUGCAGUUAAAAAGCUCGUAGUUGAACCUUGGGCCUGGCUGGCCGGUCCGCCUCACCGCGUGUACUGGUCCGGCCGGGCCUUUCCUUCUGGAGAGCCGCAUGCCCUUACUGGGGUGUGCCGGGGAACAAGGACUUUUACUUUGAAAAAAUUAAAAUGUUCAAACAAGGCCUUUGCUCGAAUACGUUAGCAUGGAAUAAUAGAAUAGGACGUGCGGUCCUAUUUUGUUGGUUUCUAGGACCGCCGUAAUGAUUAAUAGGGAUAGUCGGGGGCAUCAGUAUUCAAUUGUCAGAGGUGAAAUUCUUGGAUUUAUUGAAGACUAACUACUGCGAAAGCAUUUGCCAAGGAUGUUUUCAUUAAUCAGUGAACGAAAGUUAGGGGAUCGAAGACGAUCAGAUACCGUCGUAGUCUUAACCGUAAACUAUGCCGACUAGGGAUCGGGCGAUGUUUCUAUCUUGACUCGCUCGGCACCUUACGAGAAA